rnacentral:rRNA from 1 species
GCGGCAAAAGCUCAAAUUUGAAAUCUGGUACCUUCGGUGCCCGAGUUGUAAUUUGGAGAGGGCAACUUUGGGGCCGUUCCUUGUCUAUGUUCCUUGGAACAGGACGUCAUAGAGGGUGAGAAUCCCGUGUGGCGAGGAGUGCGGUUCUUUGUAAAGUGCCUUCGAAGAGUCGAGUUGUUUGGGAAUGCAGCUCUAAGUGGGUGGUAAAUUCCAUCUAAAGCUAAAUAUUGGCGAGAGACCGAUAGCGAACAAGUACAGUGAUGGAAAGAUGAAAAGAACUUUGAAAAGAGAGUGAAAAAGUACGUGAAAUUGUUGAAAGGGAAGGGCAUUUGAUCAGACAUGGUGUUUUGUGCCCUCUGCUCCUUGUGGGUAGGGGAAUCUCGCAUUUCACUGGGCCAGCAUCAGUUUUGGUGGCAGGAUAAAUCCAUAGGAAUGUAGCUUGCCUCGGUAAGUAUUAUAGCCUGUGGGAAUACUGCCAGCUGGGACUGAGGACUGCGACGUAAGUCAAGGAUGCUGGCAUAAUGGUUAUAUGC